GCCGCUAUAGCUCAGAGGAAGAGCUUCGAUCUCCUAAGUCGAAGGUCGCCGGUUCGAGCCCGGCUAGUGGUA
rfam:Naegleria gruberi genomic scaffold NAEGRscaffold_77, whole genome shotgun sequence.